UUAAAAAAAAAAAAAAAAAAAAGGAAGAAAAAAAGAAAAAAAAGAAAAUAAAAAUUAGAUCAAUCGUUCGUUAUUCUCAUGAAUUCUUUAGCUUGGAUCGGACGUCGUUUGGACGUGGAUAAAAUCGGCUUAUCGCAAGCGAAUGGCACCUGGAAGUAAGGGUCCUCUUGGAUGAAUCUGUAGGGUUCGUUCCCAUCGUCGAAGGGAAAAAGAAGAGAAAAGAGAAAAGCGAACUUUGACGCAACAGGCAGGCACGAGACGUAGGAACAGGUAUAAGAAACCGACUGACGGAUAUCUGUUAGGGGGUCGAUUUCUCCCCUUGUCAGGGUGAGAUCACGAACAACGUUGGUUAACAUAGGGGAAGGGAGAAACAGAAGCAGAAAUAGAAGCGCAGAAGCAGAAGCAGAAGAAGAAGAAGAAGAAGAAGAGGAAGAGGAGAGGUAAAUGAGAAAAAGAAAAGAAAGAAAGAGGAGGGGAGACCGGUCCUGCAGAAAGUAGUAUUGUGUUGAAACCGUUUUCCCAGGGCCUCCUCUUCCCCUGGUGUACCAAUGAGACUCACAUGUGCGGCCUUGGCUAGGGCCCUUCUGGCCAUUGCCAAGGUAUAUAAGGGCUGCCAGUGGCAAGCAGAAGCACAGAACAGCUCGAUCGUCUGUGGAGAGAGCAUCGUGAGAGGAUCGUGAGAGCAUCGUAAGAGUAUCGUGGCUCUCUCCCCUCUCUCCUGAUUACACUAAUCAUCGUCAUCAUCAUCUUUGACUAUUAAAGUCAAAGGGAGUCAGCGGAAGAGGAGCCAUGAUCAACGAACGGUGUUAACACGAUAACGGAAGGAGGAGGAGGAGAAGGAGGAAGAAGAAGAAGGAGGAGAAAAAAAAGCAAGAAGAUGUAUAAUCUAACCGGAGGUGUUUCUAUUUUUUCUGUCGCAGAUCAAUCGACCAACUUGGACCAAACGAUAAUGGUAACGACGUUCGAUACAUCCUGGCGAUCAACACAAGGAACGGAAUUCAAUAGGAUCAUUAACUUCGAUGAUUGGGAGCCACGGAGGACGUAGAAUCAACGGGUGCAGCUAGAACUAAUCAAUAUAUAUAUAUAUAUAUUGGUAUAUAUAUAUAUAUACGUAUAUAUAUAUACCAAUCACUGGUUAGCUAUUUGAAAAGAAGAAGAAGAAAAAGAAGAAGAAAAAGAAGAAUAGGAAGAAAAUGGAAGAAUACUCAAAGGCUGUAAAAAUCAUGGAAGACAAUGAAGAUAAUCAAAAUAAUUAAGAUAAUCAAGAAGAUAAAAGAACUGUUCCGGAUCAUCAAGUGGAUUUAUUAUUCAACAUUCAACUUAGAACUUUUUAAGAAGAUCAUGAGGAACAUUUUUAUUUUGUGGGAAUCUAUGAAUUUCAUCAUAUUCAAUGACUGAAUCCCUUUUUGUUGUUAUUGUUGUUGUUGUUAUUUGUACAUUAGACAGAACUCAAUUUACAUUUGUAAGAAUAAUAGAAAAAAAAAAAAAAUACCUGACAAUUGAUAAACAAAA